AGCUCCAAUAGCGUAUAUUUAAGUUGUUGCAGUUAAAAAGCUCGUAGUUGGAUUUUGGGCUGCGCGGGCCGGUCCGCCGUUUCGGUGAGCACUGGCCUGCGCUGUCUUCUUGUCGAGGACGCGGUUUCGGCCUUGAUUGGCUGGGGCGCGGAGUCGGCGCGGUUACUUUGAAAAAUUAGAGUGUUCAAAGCGGGCUUACGCUUGAAUAUAUUAGCAUGGAAUAACACAAUAGGACUCCGAUCCUAUUCUGUUGGUCUUCGGGACUGGAGUAAUGAUUAAGAGGAACAGUUGGGGGCAUUCGUAUUUCAUUGUCAGAGGUGAAAUUCUUGGAUUUAUGAAAGACGAACUUCUGCGAAAGCAUUUGCCAAGGAUGUUUUCA
rnacentral:rRNA from 1 species